rnacentral:rRNA from 1 species
UACGAAGGGGGCUAGCGUUGCUCGGAAUCACUGGGCGUAAAGGGUGCGUAGGCGGGUCUUUAAGUCAGGGGUGAAAUCCUGGAGCUCAACUCCAGAACUGCCUUUGAUACUGGCGAUCUUGAGUCCGGGAGAGGUGAGUGGAACUGCGAGUGUAGAGGUGAAAUUCGUAGAUAUUCGCAAGAACACCAGUGGCGAAGGCGGCUCACUGGCCCGGUACUGACGCUGAGGUGCGAAAGCGUGGGGAGCAAACAGGG